UUUUAUUUAAUUAGUCAUGCAUUACUUUACUAUAAAUAAUACAUGAACUUAGGCUUUUCCAGCAAUACCAUUCCUUAUUUAUUUAUUGCCCUUUUCACUUGAAUGCAGACCAGCAAAGUAUCCCUUAGGGUUGCUCUCGAAUGCGCCCCUCGAUAUAAUGGCCGCACCUCCACUCCCCGGAGCUACCAUCACUCCCGAAGCCCCACCUCCGCCUUUGGAUGUGCUUCCUCCUCCAACAUUUCCAGAGCCACCACCGCUGCCUCCGCAACCACCUUUGCUGCCACCGCCACUUCCACCUUUGCCACCACCCAUUUGAAUGCACAAGUUAUAACAAUGAAUGAAAU
rnacentral:lncRNA from 1 species